UACGGAGGGGGCUAGCGUUGUUCGGAAUUACUGGGCGUAAAGCGCGCGUAGGCGGCUUUGCAAGUUAGAGGUGAAAGCCCGAAGCUCAACUUCGGAAUUGCCUUUAAAACUGCGAGGCUAGAAUUGUGGAGAGGUAAGUGGAAUUCCGAGUGUAGAGGUGAAAUUCGUAGAUAUUCGGAAGAGCACCAGUGGCGAAGGCGACUUACUGGACACAUAUUGACGCUGAGGUGCGAAAGCGUGGGGAGCAAACAGG
rnacentral:rRNA from 1 species